CGGCGACUGGAGCUGCGCGGCACGGCAGUGGCCCGCGGCGGAGGGGAGCAGGCUCCCGGCUGUUGGCUCGCGCUGCUGCGGCUGCUGAAGCAUCCAUGGAGUCGCCAACCCCCAAGUCGCCGUACGAGUUGGAGCCAACGAAUGAACUAGCACUAGCGCACAUCAUCCCUUCCUAGGUUGUCAUCACAUGCGCAGAUGAACUGGAUCGAUCUAUUCAGGGCACCAAGUAACGAAUAAUUGGAUCUCAAAGCUCAUAUAUGAAGAACCGAUCUUGGUAGUGGCAUAAAUGGAAGAUGAGAUCUAUGAAUAACAAAUACAAUAAUUACCUGUAGUUUCUAUAAUUUUCAAAGUUUGUAUUCUCUUCAAGAUUUUCAGUCGUUCAAGCUCACAAAUAAGAUACAUAUGGGCAUCAAUUCUAUCAGGUUUUUACACACAUGCUUUAUUUUUGAAGUAAAGAAGCAAGGAAAAACUCAGUUUAGGGACAGCAGCAGUUUUACCACCGAUGGUGUUGCAUGUAAGCUGGAUGUUCUCAUUGUUCUCUUGGCUCUGAUCGGGAACUUUCGCGCAAAGAAAACACACACAGGGCAGGAAGGGGAAAACAUAUAGAAGGAGUCUCUCUAUUGGAAGGGGAAAAUAUAAUAUUAGACACCAUUUAUUUUUCUGCUCGCUGAUGCAUGCAAUGUAUCAUUUGGCCUUGAUUUAAUAUCCCAUGAAUGUCAUUUUGCACCGAAGGUUUGUAACCGUUGGGGAAUGUUUUCUUGCUCUGAUGUAUCAAGUUGCCAUGGGGGUGAUCUAGAGGUCUCUUCCUUGUCCAAAGUAUGUCAUACCUAAUCAAGACAUGUUCAUUUAAUUUACCCGUCAUGUAAAUGACACAACAUGAUUCACUUGUGUAUAGUGUAAACAUAUAUUUAUUUAUGGCAAGCAGGUGUUCAAAUUAUAGUUGUGAAACGUGUAUAGUGUAAGGAUAUAAUUAUUAAGGGAAGUGACGUCACAGUGGUCGUGCCUGG
rnacentral:rRNA from 1 species